UCCGCCGCAACAAAUCGAGUAUCCCACGUCUGUGUACCCACAGUGAAGCAGAUCACGAAUGAGGCAGCUGAACUUUUUAGAAACUACUGACUCCUGGGCCUUCCCCUGAUCCUCCUGAAUCAGAAGCCUCGGGAGUGGGGCCACCUGGAGCUCUUUUAAAAGCUUCUCAGACAAUUCCUAUGCACACUCCAUUCUGAGUGCUUCGUGUUCAUCCUACCCGGGCACUUAUCGCAGUCGAAUUAAAUUGCUGGUCUGUCUUCUCCACUAGAUGGUAAGCCAGAGAGCAAAUAUCCUCUGACUCUCCAAGACCUCAGACGUUGUAGAGUAUCCACAACGAGUGAAAUCCUGACCCUUCCAAAUACUGUCUUAGCUGUGAUUAGUUUCCAGUGAAGCUGCUGACUCGGGUGAUUAACUUAUUAAAACAAACUGUCAAUGCACUGGGGUAGAAACAAAGGGAGUGUUUCUUGUUCCCAUGCCUUUGGAAACUCCCAAAAGUUCAACUCACUGGUGUGACUAAGACAGGCAAGAAUGAACAUCUGAACCUGAGCAGUCAGUCUCUCUUGCCUAACUCACUCUGCUGUCAGCGAAACAGCCAAGAUGUGGGAAAGCUGGAUAUUCCAGAUGCGGGAUAACCCAUCGCUUGUCCCGGGGUGUUUCAGUGGCCCUCCCAGUUGCACACGGUCAGUUUAUGCUUCUAACGGAUGGAUGUCAGUUCUGCAACUGCGUAAGAGGCAAUAGGCUAUGUGUUCACGGAAACAACGAACCGGUUCCUUCCAAGUGUGAAAAACUGAAAGUAAACAAUUGUGUGUUCUGCAUCAGGAGCAGUUUGGAUGUUUUCCAGCCCAGAUUUUCGAAUCAAGGUACCUUUGCCUCCAUCUGUACCAGCUCCAACACCCGCGGGGUUCCGCCCCCCCAGUUCCCACUCGCAACCGGAACAUCAAAGACCCCAAGCAGCAGCGGCUUGAAGUGGGUCAUCAAACCACACGAGGCAAGGUCACGCUACAUGAGAAGAGCGCAGGUGAAAUGUCCUCCCCAGUGAUUCGUGGUCGGAGCAAGACCAGCCCAGGCGGCUCCGAGGAGCAGUAGGAGGUGGCACGGGAAAUGGUUUGACAGCUGUGAAGCCCCUCAGGGGUGCGGGGAGCUCCUGCGCGCGAGGCGGAAGUGAGCCAGAUAUGGACAACAGACCUGUGACCCUGAUAAAAGGCAGGCCUGGAGACAUGGAGUUCCUGCUUCCCAUCCCACACCCGUCCUGCCCUAUCGACUUAAGGUUCAAACUGAAGCUUAAGGAUGUGAUGCCUGGAGCCCCAGCAGCCAUCUUAUACACGAGAGGGGGUGAGCCCGCGGCCUGUGGUGAAAGGGUAACAGGGCAGGAGGAAAAGUCAUGUGAGGACACAGUGAGAAGGCAGCUGUCUGCAAGC